GACCCAGGCUAGGUCCAGCGCCCCGCCACAGCCCCGUCCCCAGGCUGGGCAGGAGCCUGUGCGCUGGCCGGGCUCUGACCUGCUUGCUUGCCUCGGGGAAGAAGCAGCCCCGCCUGCCUCGGGGAGGGAAGAACCCCACCCCGCCUGGCCCCGCCCCGGGCCUGCACGUGUCGCUGUGCCCCGCGGAUACCGAUCGGGCUCCAUGGCCGCUGCGAGCACCACGAGCUCCUGCCCCAUUCCGGGCGGCCGAGACCAGGGCUCCCCAGACGGCUACAGCUGCACCCCCGGCGGGACCCUCUACUCCACCACCCCUGGGGGUACCAGGAUAAUCUAUGACCGUAAAUUCCUGCUGGAGUGUAAGAACUCGCCCGUUGCCAGGACGCCCCCCUGCUACCUCCCUCACAUCCCCGGCAUCACCUCUCCCCCCCACGCGGCGCACUCCAAGCUGGAGGAUCUUAAGGAACAAAAUGAGACCGAGGAAGAGGUCCCAGAUGACGAUCAGUUUGCCAUGGAUAUCUGAGCUCCCAGCGAUGCGGCCAGCUGGCGGCAAGCUGCUUUCCUGGGGCUCCUGCCUCCUUUCCCUCCCUGAAGACCCAGAGGCCAAAAAACAUCAUCCAGCUCCUCUUCUGGGCAUGGGAAGGGCUGAGCGCUGAUCUCCACGCCCAGCAUCUGACUGACCUGUCAUUACAGCCCAGGGCUCCAUCAUCCCCACACCUGACGCACCUGGGAAAGAACAGCACUAUCUAUCACAUGUCCACACCAGCUGCAGCUCUCUCCCCUGUCUUGUUCUGCCCUGGAGCCUGCUCACAGCAGGUUCCAGAUGAGGGCUGGCACUGGGCUUGCACACAGGCAUGGGACACUGGAACAGUAAUUUUAAUUCAGUAUCAUGCAGCAAGUUGCCCCGAGAUCGAUUGGUGGUAAGAAAGCCUCUCCUUGGUGCGGAGCCAAUCCUGAAUCAGGAUCACGCAGAGGCAGGACAGGGAGACACGGGAGAAGCCAGAAACCCCUCAGGGAUGGAGGAGUCUCGCUGUUUUCCCGCUACAGCGAUGAGAAAUGCUCCUAGUGGCCAAGAGCUCCAUCACCUCUGGGGGACACAGUGGGGCCUGGAGGCAGUUCAGUUCCCCCCAGCUUUGCCAUGGCUCACAGGGCCUCUUUGGCUGGCUGAGCUCCAGCUCCCUGCUCAUCAUUUGCAACCAAGUCUCUAGGAGGCAAGUUCCUUGCCUCAGCAAUUAACCGUUUGAUUCCCACCAGCCAUUGACUGACUUCAUUGACAUGGUCCACCAUGAGCGAGCGAUGGAUUUCAUCAGCCACAUCCCAGUGCCGCCGCUGGAGCUCUAGGAGGCAAGGAGAGAGCAGCCCCUGUUAGUGGCCCAUGAACCUCUCAGGUGGAUGGGGGGAGUAAAAAAGGCUCUGAGCUGAGUAUGAGCUCCAUCCACAGCCGCUGGACCCACUGGGAUUCCACCUGGGAGAAGAGAUGUGCCUAGAUACCACAGGGAUGGGAGCACUGCAGUCGGACAGAGGGGACAUGACAGGGCACAAAUGGGCCUCAUGCUGACAGGUGAGGGACAUGGAAGCAGCGCUGAGUGCUGAGAGGAGAUGGGGAGCCAGGAAAGGAAUGCAUGUAGGCCGCAGUGCAGAACCCCUGGGAGAUGCAAAGUUGGCCCCCUCCCUAGAGUGGGUCACAGCUCCCUGGCGCCCCUUUGCCCCUCUCACCCUGAACCAGGAUAUUCAUCCUCUUCCUCACAGGGGCAGACAGCUUUCCCUGGAGCCACAGCUCCCGAAACACAGCGAGGCGUCUGCUGAUGUCAUCACAAACCUGUUUCUGGAAGUCCAGAGAGGAGCCUUAGUGAAGAACUGCCACCAGAAAGCCUUGAGCCAGAGCCCCCACCACACACCCCCUGCUAGCGCUAAAGUAGAGAAGAGCUCUGAGAAGGGGACCCGUCAGAACCACCUGCACCCAGCGAGCUGAGCCUUCACAUCCUCCUCUCAGGCAGCAGGGUGCAGAGGGACAACUUGGGAAUGGCGGGCCCCUGUAAUGCCACAGAGAACAAACACCCCCAUUCAAUGGGCCCUUCCCUGGCUGCACACACCCUGAGGAGGACAAUCAGCAGCAGAGAGAGCAGGGUACAGGGCUCGACAUCUGUGUCUGUGGAAAGAGGAAACUGCAGAUCAUUUGCAAACUUAACACCAUCAAUCUGGGCUUGAAUAGGAACUGGGAGUGGCUGGCUCAUUACAAAAGCAAUUUUCCCUCUCUUGGUAUUGACCCCUUCUCCUCAAUUAUUGGGCGUGGACCACAUCCACCCUCACUGAAUUGGCCUUCAACAUUGGUUCUUCACUUGUAAGGUAACUCCCUUCUCUUCAUGUGCCAAUACAUAUUUAUGCCUGCAUCUGUAAUUUUCAUUCCAUGCAUCUGAAGAAGUGGGUGUUUUACCCAUGAAAGCUUAUGCCCAAAUAAAUCUGUUAGUCUUUAAGGUG